CUAAAUAAUACCAAUUGCCUGUGGCUUGCAGCAACGCAGCAUGAGAUUUCACUUCACAGGUGUGACCCAAGUACUUUUGGGCCCCUUUCACUUACGUGAGAUGCCUAGAAGCUAUUUCUGUAUUGUGGAGGAAGACGGGGAAAACGUUCUGCAAUGAAAUGACUGGCUAAAUGGAAAAGGAGAUCACAGGAGAUGCUGUAUACAUAUUUUUACCUUUCCCUGUGCCACCCUGUGGUGUUGAUCAUGCCCGAUUCUGACCUGGAGAAAUCACAGGAAGGUACACUUGUUCUAAGAAAGGUGGUUAAUUGUCAUUGUUGCAUAGAUUGAUCUGAGCAAGAGUAUAUUCCCUUCUCAUUAAACACACAAGAAACUCAAGU